rnacentral:lncRNA from 1 species
CUUUUGCAAAUGAUUUUGAUCUUAAAGUCUAUGAACUAAUAUCAUAUUUAGAAGUUUAUUAGACAGCCAAAAAAUUAUAACAACAAAAAUGCUGGACUGAUGGGUAAAUUUGGAUAACUACUGAUCUUCCAACAAGAAUAUCAAUUCAAGAGGACCCUAAAGAUCAUCCAUUAGGACUUGCGAGAUAUCAUAUCUCUAUGGCUCCGACCCACUCACACACAUACACUGUUGCUUCCACUCAUGCGUGCGUUGGCCCGGGUCAAUUGGGUCUCUAUGGAAGGUUUCUGUGGAGGAAGAGUCGAAGAAUAGUGGAGUACAUAGUGAUGUGGUGGAAGAAGACAAAUGGAGAUGGAUUAUUUAGUUGAAGUAAUGAAGGAGACAAGGGAAGAAAA